GUCGCGCUCCGUUCCAUGCUGGCUCCAGCGCGCUCCAUGCGACCUACUGUGCGGGAUUUCGGCUGUGAGUUGGUGACGCUUUUAAUGUCGCACUUUCCCUCCGCUCCCCAUCCUGCGGAAUAGUUGGGAGGACGACGGCCACUCCUCCCGUACGGCCGUCCAAGUGACCGCUCUCUGCCGAUGGCCGUGGCUGACGUUUACACAGCCUCGUCGGGUCGGCCACAGUGCGCACCGCCUCUCUUCCUUUAUCUACUCCCUCUGUACCUCGCUACAUCUCUUUUCGCCAUUGCCGUGUUCUGAAACUAUCGUGCUUGCCUGCGCCGCUUCCUCUCCAUCUUCAACACCUCAAAGCACAACAACUGUGUGGUGCCAUGGCCAUGUGGUCGGUGACAUGAGCCCUCAGGAGCCUUCUC